rnacentral:misc_RNA from 1 species
AGCAGCUGCGGUAAUUCCAGCUCCAAUAGCGUAUAUUAAAGUUGUUGCAGUUAAAAAGCUCGUAGUUGAAUUUCGGGAUCAAUAUGUUGGUCGUGCCUCGGUACGUACUAGCUUAUUGGUUUCUCCUUUCUGAAGAACCAUGAUGUCAUUUAUUUGGUGUCGUGGGGAAUCAGGACUGUUACUUUGAAAAAUUAGAGUGUUUAAAGCAGGCUCACGCUUGAAUACAUUAGCAUGGAAUAAUGAAAUAGGACGUUUGAUUCUAUUUUGUUGGUUUCUAGGAUCGACGUAAUGAUUAAUAGGGAUAGUUGGGGGCAUUAGUAUUCAAUUGUCAGAGGUGAAAUUCUUGGAUUUAUUGAAGACUAACUACUGCGAAAGCAUUUGCCAAGGAUGUUUUCAUUAAUCAAGAACGAAAGUUAGGGGAUCGAAGACGAUCAGAUACCGUCGUAGUCUUAACCAUAAACUAUGCCGACUAGGGAUCGGAUGAUGUAAUUUUUAAUGA